AACGAACGCUGGCGGCAUGCCUAACACAUGCAAGUCGAACGAGACCUUCGGGUCUAGUGGCGCACGGGUGCGUAACGCGUGGGAACCUGCCUUUAGGUUCGGAAUAACUCAGAGAAAUUUGAGCUAAUACCAGAUGAUGUCUUCGGACCAAAGAUUUAUCGCCUUUAGAUGGGCCCGCGUUGGAUUAGCUAGUUGGUGGGGUAAAGGCCUACCAAGGCGACGAUCCAUAGCUGGUCUGAGAGGAUGAUCAGCCACACUGGGACUGAGACACGGCCCAGACUCCUACGGGAGGCAGCAGUGGGGAAUAUUGGACAAUGGGCGAAAGCCUGAUCCAGCAAUGCCGCGUGAGUGAUGAAGGCCCUAGGGUUGUAAAGCUCUUUUACCCGAGAUGAUAAUGACAGUAUCGGGAGAAUAAGCUCCGGCUAACUCCGUG
rnacentral:rRNA from 1 species